GACAGAGGGUGCGAACGUUGUUCGGAAUUACUGGGCGUAAAGCGCGUGUAGGCGUGUCACGCAAGUCGGGUGUGAAAGCCCGGGGCUCAACCCCGGAAGUGCACUCGAAACUGCAUGACUUGAGUCUCGGAGAGGGCGGCGGAAUUCUGGGUGUAGAGGUGAAAUGCGUAGAGAUCGGGAGGAAGGCCGGUGGCGAAGGCGGCGCUCUGGAACAUUUCUGACGCUGAGGCUCGGAAAGCGUGGGGAGCAAACAGG
rnacentral:rRNA from 1 species